rnacentral:rRNA from 1 species
UGGUCUGAGAGGAUGAUCAGUCACACUGGAACUGAGACACGGUCCAGACUCCUACGGGAGGCAGCAGUAGGGAAUAUUGCGCAAUGGGGGAAACCCUGACGCAGCAACGCCGCGUGGAGGAUGACACUUUUCGGAGCGUAAACUCCUUUUCUUAGGGAAGAAUUCUGACGGUACCUAAGGAAUAAGCACCGGCUAACUCCGUGCCAGCAGCCGCGGUAAUACGGAGGGUGCAAGCGUUACUCGGAAUCACUGGGCGUAAAGGGCGCGUAGGCGGAUUAUCAAGUCUCUUGUGAAAUCUAAUGGCUUAACCAUUAAACUGCUUGGGAAACUGAUAGUCUAGAGUGAGGGAGAGGCAGAUGGAAUUGGUGGUGUAGGGGUAAAAUCCGUAGAUAUCACCAAGAAUACCCAUUGCGAAGGCGAUCUGCUGGAACUCAACUGACGCUAAGGCGCGAAAGCGUGGGGAGCAAACAGGAUUAGAUACCCUGGUAGUCCACGCCCUAAACGAUGUACACUAGUUGUUGGGGUGCUAGUCAUCUCAGUAAUGCAGCUAACGCAUUAAGUGUACCGCCUGGGGAGUACGGUCGCAAGAUUAAAACUCAAAGGAAUAGACGGGGACCCGCACAAGCGGUGGAGCAUGUGGUUUAAUUCGAAGAUACGCGAAGAACCUUACCUGGGCUUGAUAUCCUAAGAACCUUUUAGAGAUAAGAGGGUGCUAGCUUGCUAGAACUUAGAGACAGGUGCUGCACGGCUGUCGUCAGCUCGUGUCGUGAGAUGUUGGGUUAAGUCCCGCAACGAGCGCAACCCACGUAUUUAGUUGCUAACGGUUCGGCCGAGCACUCUAAAUAGACUGCCUUCGUAAGGAGGAGGAAGGUGUGGACGACGUCAAGUCAUCAUGGCCCUUAUGCCCAGGGCGACACACGUGCUACAAUGGCAUAUACAAUGAGACGCAAUACCGCGAGGUGGAGCAAAUCUAUAAAAUAUGUCCCAGUUCGGAUUGUUCUCUGCAACUCGAGAGCAUGAAGCCGGAAUCGCUAGUAAUCGUAGAUCAGCCAUGCUACGGUGAAUACGUUCCCGGGUCUUGUACUCACCGCCCGUCACACCAUGGGAGUUGAUUUCACUCGAAGCCGGAAUACUAAACUAGUUACCGUCCACAGUGGAAUCAGCGACUGGGGUGAAGUCGUAACAAGGUAACCGUAGGAGAACCUGCGGUUGGAUCACCUCCUUUCUA